rnacentral:rRNA from 1 species
GUAGUCUCGCACAGAUGCAUAUCAAUAAGCGGAGGAAAAGAAACUAACAAGGAUUCCCUCAGUAACGGCGAGUGAAGCGGGAAGAGCUCAAAUUUGAAAUCUUGAAAGGUCACCUUUCACGAAUUGUAGUUUAAAGAAGUGUUUUCUGUUACGAUCGUAAUAUAAGUUCUUUGGAAUAGGACAUCACAGAGGGUGAGGAUCCCGUCUAUGAUUGCGAUUUGUAGCUUUGUGAUACACUUUCAAAGAGUCGGGUUGUUUGGGAAUGCAGUCCAAAAUGGGUGGUAAAUUUCAUCUAAAGCUAAAUAUUGGCGAGAGACCGGUAGCGAACAAGUACCGUGAGGGAAAGAUGAAAAGAACUUUGAAAAGAGAGUUAAACAGUACGUGAAAUUGUCAAAAGGGAAGCGUUUGACACCAGUGUUGUUUUCUCGAAAAUCAAUUAAAAAGAGUUAGAUUUUGUUGUGUAUUGACCUUAACAGCUUGCAUUUCAAUUUUCUUGCUUUUUUUAAUGCACUUUUCGUUUAACAAGUCAACAUCAGUUUCUUUUGUUGUAAAAAGGUCAUUGGAAGGUGGCUUUCUUUUCGGAGAAAGUGCUUAUAGCCUUUGACUCCUGCAAUCGGAGAGACUGAGGUCUGCAGCGUAGAUCCUUCGGGGUUAGAUACAUUUGUGCUAAGUUAUAGCUUUUUAUAGACAACUUGUUGACUAUGAUUAGUCUUGUAGCUUACUCGCUUAUGCUAUUUUACCUACGCUUAGGAUGUUGAAGAUGUAGCACAUCAU